CAGAUUUAAAUUAUUAAUGAAAGUCUGCUAACUUUUAGGUAACGGUUUGCGUGAAACAGCCUGUGGGAUGACAGGUAAUUUCAGGACAUACUCGUAAGCUAUCAAUGGGCAAAAACUUUAUGCGAUGCAAAAACAGAAUUCCAAAAUACAUCAUUAUCGUUGACACACAGACGGACGAACACACACAUUUUAUAUUGUGGCAACACAUAAAAAACUCUUCAACGCAUGCGCCCUUUCGUGCUAUGUACAUGGACGGCCAAGUGAUAGCGAGAAAAGCGAGAGGUCUCCUACACCAAUUUAGACAACUUAGAGAAAUUCCGUGCACGCUGUCAGGCCUUUGCAUGCGAUGCGGCCCAGGCAUAUGGGACAGUUCGCAUAGUCCAAGGGUAUACUGCACCGGACACGAAAAUGGAUACUGUCCGAACAUUAAUUAAUCAAAUCGCACGCAUGUACAAAGAGCAUUUGUUCGCCCGAAAAAGUAUUAUUUUUAAACAAUUUAGCCUAGAUGAAUAAAUAAAUAUAAGCUAUAUUGUUGAUGUUAAAAGAACUAUUAUCUAUCAGCUCAUGACCAUAUCAUUAUUCACUUGAUGGAUUGGUGACAUGCUGGGUUUGUGAUUUGUCAUUCGGACGCGGUGCGAGUUUUUGACAAUAAGAUGCUUGGUGUCUUCAUUUCUCAGUGUUUUUGCAGUAUGCGUUCACUUAAUACCUAUUAGCAUGCAUGCAGUUUUCCAAUCACUAUUUACAGUUAUAGUGCAGACUCAGAGUGUUGCUAUGUGAGAGUUCCAUCAUAUUGUACCUACAUGUAAAAUAUCAUAUCUCUGUACACAGUUUGUUUUAUAUUUAUUACUAAAUUAUAUAUUGUAAAUGAUAUUAGCUAUUAAAUAAAUAUAUUCAUCACAUACACUUUAA